rnacentral:tRNA from 1 species
UGGUGGUUAGUUUAAUAAAAACAAAUGAUUUCGACUCAUUAAAUUAUGUCAAUUACAUAACUACCAA